UCGGGGGACGCGAUGCUCGGCUACUCUGUGCCAGCAGCCGCGGUAAGACAGGGGAUGCAAGCGUUAUCCGGAAUGAUUGGGCGUAAAGCGUCUGUAGGUGGCUCCUUAAGUCCGCUGUCAAAUCCCGGGGCUCAACCCCGGACAGGCGGUGGAAACUACUGGGCUAGAGUACGGUAGGGGCAGAGGGAAUUUUCGGUGGAGCGGUGAAAUGCGUAGAGACCGGAAAGAACACAAAAGGCGAAGGGACUCUGCUGGGCCGACACUGACGCUGAGAGACGAAAGCUACGGGAGCGAUAUGGGAUUAGAUACCCCACCAGUCCCUAGCCGUAAACGAUGAAUACUAAGCGCUGCGGCUUGUCGACCCGUGCAGUGCUGUAGCUCACGCGUUAAGUAUCCCGCCUGGGGAGUCCGUUCCCACAGAAUGAAACUCAAAGGAAUUGACGGGGGCCCGCACAAGGCUAUGGUGGAGCAAGCUGUGGUUGUAAUUCGAUGCAACGCGAAGAACCUUACCAGGGCUUGACAUCCGCUAAUUCUCUCGAAAGGGAGGAGUGCCAGAUUCGGGAAUGCGGACACAGGUGGAGCAUGGAUGUCGUCAGCUCGUGCCGUAACGUGAUUGGGUUAAGUACCGCAAAGAGCGCAAACCUCGUGUUUAGAUGCCACUACCAUUUGGAACCGUAGAGACUGCCGGUUAAGCCGGAGGAAUGUGGGGCUAACGUCCUGUCAUCUUGCCCUAACGAUCUGGGUGUCGAUGGUUUAGCCAUGGCGCGGGACAAAGAGCUGCGACCCCGAGAGGGCCAGCUAACCUCAGAAACUCGGUCUCAUGCGUAUUGCAGGAACCUGCAGACUCGCCUGCAUGAAGCCGGAAUCGCCUAGUAAUCGCCGGUCAGCCACACGGUGAAUCCGUUUCCGAGCCUAGUCCACACCUCCCA
rnacentral:rRNA from 1 species